rnacentral:rRNA from 1 species
UACGGGGGGGGCAAGCGUUGUUCGGAAUUACUGGGCGUAAAGGGCGCGUAGGCGGCCCUCUAAGUCAGACGUGAAAUCCCACGGCUUAACCGUGGAACUGCGUCUGAUACUGGAGGGCUUGAAUCCGGGAGAGGGAUGUGGAAUUCCAGGUGUAGCGGUGAAAUGCGUAGAUAUCAAGUGGAACACCAGUGGCGAAGGCGAGUCUCUGGACAUUUCCUGACGCUGAGGCACGAAAGCCAGGGGAGCAAACGGG